AGAACAACAAACAGAGUGAAAGACAAAGAUAACUUGGAAAGGUUUUGUGACUCGUCUUAAAAUAUGAGGAAGAUUUAGAUCGUACUGAGAGUCGAUCAGAACAAAACAAGAAGUUUAAAAAAAAACUUGAGCUUUUUGAAUUGAUGAAGUUUUUUUUAUGUGAAUAUGUAAAGUUUGUUUGUGUAGAAGUUUUUUAUUAAAACAAAAUGUUCCAUUGAUGAGUGAACAGAGUAACAACGUAGGAACAAAACCAAAGAAUUACGUUUCUUCAAAGUCUUUUAUUCUGCUCAUCUUUUCAUUUCAUCAAACAUACAUACAGCUCUGUGCACCACACACUCACACCUGAACCCCGGACACCUCAAACACUCCUCUCAUAGGUUUUCCUACAAAUGGCUUCGUCCCUCAGCUCGAUUAUUUGGCUUUUCUUUUUCAUCCGAGUCACACAUUCAAUUCCUCAGUUUCCUGAAAUCUUUAAAUCCACGUUUCUCUCUCCACAGAUUCCACUUACAUUCAGAUAAUAUAGAUAUGAAGAGCUCGGCUUAAGGAGCGUCUGCACGGUUUCCUAUGAGGAAGCGUGUGUUAGGGUUUCCUCCAGGUCAGAGGUGGGAUGGCGGCGUUGACGUCGCAGCAGGAGUCGCCGAUCUCUGAGUCGGCGGGCAGCGCCGGCUUCUUCCUGUCCUUCUCCUCGCUGUCAGAGUCAUCCACCGUCAGCGAGAUGAGCGAGGUGGACUUGGACCUGUGAUGAGGAUGUGAAGUUUAUGCAGCUCAUCAAAACCCAACCUGACCAUCACAUGUUUGCCUGAACAAACCUUAGCAGCAAAAUUUCAGGUCCCUCAAAAUUCAGGAUGAAGGUCUCCAUCUGGACAUCCAGGCCUCUCUUCAUUGAACACAUCUCCAUGUACUCGUGCAGGUGGCGGUUCAUGUCGCUCUUUGCUGUGGCCAGCUCCAGCUGACGAAGACGCACAGAGAGGCAGAAUG